rnacentral:rRNA from 1 species
GACGAACGCUGGCGGCGUGCUUAACACAUGCAAGUCGAGCGAGGCCCCUCCUUCGGGAGGGUGUCCUAGCGGCGAACGGGUGAGUAACACGUGGGCAACCUGCCCUCAGCGCUGGGAUAACUCCGGAAAACCGGGGCUAAUACCGGAUACGACCUCCACGGGCAUCUGCGGGGGUGGAAAGUUUUUCGUCUGAGGAUGGGCCCGCGGCCUAUCAGCUAGUUGGUGGGGUAGUGGCCCACCAAGGCGACGACGGGUAGCCGGCCUGAGAGGGGGACCGGCCACAAUGGGACUGAGACACGGCCCAGACUCCUACGGGAGGCAGCAGUGGGGAAUAUUGCGCAAUGGGCGAAAGCCUGACGCAGCGACGCCGCGUGAGGGACGAAGGCCUUCGGGUUGUAAACCUCUUUCAGCAGGGACGAAGCGAAAGUGACGGUACCUGCAGAAGAAGCACCGGCUAACUACGUG